rnacentral:rRNA from 1 species
AGGGCCGCAUGGCCCAGGGAGGAAAGCCGAGACGGUGAAGGAUGGCUCCGCGUCGGAUUAGCCAGUUGGCGGGGUAACGGCCCACCAAAGCGAUGAUCCGUAGCCGGCCUGAGAGGGCGACCGGCCACAUUGGGACUGAGACACGGCCCAAACUCCUACGGGAGGCAGCAGUGGGGGAUAUUGCACAAUGGGGGGAACCCUGAUGCAGCGACGCCGCGUGAAGGAGGAAGUGCUUCGGCAUGUAAACUUCUAUCAGCAGGGAAGAAGAUGACGGUACCUGACUAAGAAGCCCCGGCUAACUACGUGCCAGCAGCCGCGGUAAUACGUAGGGGGCAAGCGUUAUCCGGAUUUACUGGGUGUAAAGGGAGCGUAGACGGCAAUGCAAGUCUGAUGUGAAAACCCGGGGCUCAACCGCGGGAUUGCAUUGGAAACUGUAUAGCUCGAGUACUGGAGGGGCAGGCGGAAUUCCUGGUGUAGCGGUGAAAUGCGUAGAUAUCAGGAGGAACACCGGUGGCGAAGGCGGCCUGCUGGACAGAAACUGACGUUGAGGCUCGAAAGCGUGGGGAGCAAACAGGAUUAG